rnacentral:rRNA from 1 species
GAUGAACGCUGGCGGCGUGCCUAAUACAUGCAAGUCGAGCGAACAGACGAGGAGCUUGCUCCUCUGACGUUAGCGGCGGACGGGUGAGUAACACGUGGAUAACCUACCUAUAAGACUGGGAUAACUUCGGGAAACCGGAGCUAAUACCGGAUAAUAUAUUGAACCGCAUGGUUCAAUAGUGAAAGACGGUUUUGCUGUCACUUAUAGAUUGAUCCGCGCCGCAUUAGCUAGUUGGUAAGGUAACGGCUUACCAAGGCAACGAUGCGUAGCCGACCUGAGAGGGUGAUCGGCCACACUGGAACUGAGACACGGUCCAGACUCCUACGGGAGGCAGCAGUAGGGAAUCUUCCGCAAUGGGCGAAAGCCUGACGGAGCAACGCGGCGUGAGUGAUGAAGGUCUUCGGAUCGUAAAACUCUGUUAUUAGGGAAGAACAAAUGUGUAAGUAACUAUGCACGUCUUGACGGUACCUAAUCAGAAAGCCACGGCUAACUACGUG